rnacentral:lncRNA from 1 species
CGAGUCCCAGGGCGCCCCAUCCCGCCCCUCCGGCGGGCACCUCGACCUGCCGUUCCCUCCGCCUGCAAAGCCCUUCCGGGCCCGCAGUCCCCGGCCCCGACGUCACCUCCAGCUGCGCUCCCAGUUCGCGACGUUAACGUUCCUCCCAACCCCAUCUCUGGUUGGCCCCCUCGACCAGACCUGCCCUCAGACCUGCUGUCCUGGCUGCAUUCUCAAGCCAAGGAAGUUGUGGCCCAGUGAAUUCGCAUCUCAGCGUCCACGAGAAUCCCGUUACCUACAUUAUCAGAUUCCGGUACAAGAAUCGAAUCAGUCUUCCCAUCAGCCUCCAGCCCGGACCCUCGGACGGCGCAGCGGAUUCUGUCCUCUUCCUCCCGAGCAUCUGCACUAUUUGCUACAUGUGCUAGCUAUCUCCAGACUGCCAAUUCACCCACAGAAAUUAGCCUCUAAUGCUGCCACUGUUGCCCAAGAGGGAGGAGAAAGGAGCAGUGAAGGACAUCGGCAACGCCCAAACUCAGACACUGAGUUAGUUAUCCGAAAGAAGGGGCGAGCAGCCCGGAGAGUGCAACCUUACACAGAGAGAAGAGACCAGAAAUCAUAAAGAGCAAAGAGCUACAAGACACUACCGCUACCUUUCGAUCAACUUUAUAUCAGAGAAGUAACGAAUUCAUUGUGAAUUCUCAAAAAACCAGCAAAGGUAACUUUCCUUUGAAUUAUUGUGAUGAUUAAUUAUGUUUAUCAAACAAGUGAAGCUAUCCUAGUAAAUUCAUCAACCUCUGGUGAGAUAGAGAGAGAGAGAGAGAGAGAGAGACCCACAACUGAGAAGAUGAAUGUGGACAGUUUGACUGGUAGGGAAUAUAGCAAUACAGGCCUACCAAAAUCGGGGAAAACCAGAAUUCGCUCAGGAUCCAGGUAGGUGAGUGUUGAAUCUAAGGCAAAGAGUGAAUGAAUUUGAAAGUAAAGCUGGAGCCAGACAGGUGUAUGAAAACACGCAAUGGGGCUCCCUUUGUUUUCAGUCCCUAGUGUGACCAGAGCAGAGCUUCUUGGGUCUGCAGUGGGUCUUCUGAGGCCUGCAGCCCAGUAGCAAGGGCCCCACCUCGGAAGUUCUCGGAGGGAAGUGCCAGUUCUCACCCACUCACCCGCUGCAGCCCAGCAACCUAUUUAACAGGUCUUCAGGGGGUCCCAAUGCAGGCUAACAUUUGAGACUACGCUGGUUCACAGCAAUAGAUAUUUGUACUGAUAUAGGAGAAGUAUGCCCGGUGCAAUGGUGCCCACCAGUAGUCCUGCACUCUAGGAGGCUGAGACAGGAUGAUCAUGAGUUUGAGCCCAGCCAGGGCAAAUUAGCAAGAUCCUGUCUCAAAAUUACAAAAAAUAAAAAAGGGCUGGGGGUAUAGCUCAGUACAAAGGCCCUGAGUUCACGAAUAUAUUUUAUAUAUAUACGUAUGUAUGUAUAUUUUUAUCAAGCUACUGGCUUCAAACCAUUAUAGUCGGUCAUUAAAUUUUUUUUUUGGUACCAGGGAUCAAACUCGGGUCCUUGCACUUGCAGGGCAGGCGGCAGAACUAGUGAGCUAAAUCCCCAACCCUCAUUAAAUCUUUUUAGUAGAGCUUGACUAGCAUUUUUUGAAUGAGACAGAAUUGAAUGGAUAGAAUGCAAUGAAUGGAAAAAGCAUUCAUCACUUCACUAAGGGUAACUGCUAUGUAGUAAAGUUUGUUUCCAUUAUACAUACACACAUUUAUACAGUACAUGCACAUAUAUGCAUAAAUAUAGAUUCAUAUACACAUAUUACUGUGUACUUGGUCAUGAUGCAAAAUUAGUGUCUUACAUUUUGAGCUAGGUUAAAAAAUUUAAAGCCAAUGUUGGAAAGACAGGUGUCAGACAAAUCCCUGUAAGCUUGGGAUUGUUAAUGCUACAUGAAUGAUAUUAUG